GUGAGAAUAUCAUCUAAACAUGCUGUUCGAUUCUUUGGAUCACCUAGGAGUAGAUCGAGUGGAUGAAAUGACUUUUCUUUUGAGGAAAUACCUUGCUUGUAGCCUCUGCGACCUCCAUGGCACCGUCGAGUAUGCAUGGGCAACGACGGCGCGGUGCAGUGGUGACCAGGUGGCGGCGGUGAGCCGUGGACGCGCCGCCGGAGUGGUCGUGGACCCGCCAGUUCAAGUCAAGGACGACGUGGUCGCAGAGGCAUGGUGGUGUGACGAAGAGGUGGCGACGUCGCAGUGCAGUGGCCGGCGCUGGUGGCAGCUUCCCGUCGCGGUCAGCGCCUCCCUCUCGAUCGGACUAGGGUUAGCACGGUGGGGAACAGUGACCGCGGGUGAACCAGGUAACCAAAGCCUCUAAUCCCCACCUCCACUUUAUAGGACUACGCAACGGGGGCCCACCAGCCUCAUCUUGGGCUGGGCGUCCCCGAUCAGGACGCGAGUCAAGGUUGGCCCAGUCGUUGGACUGGCCCGGUGGAGAUCAAUACUAACACAUGCAUUUGGGUCUGAUGAAAUAAAACAAUAUCUUAGCUUGCUGUCGUUCCUCCUAAGUCCACUGUCUUCUAUGAAGUGGAGCUUGUUUCCUUCGAGAAGAUUUGCUUAAAAUCUCUUGAUCUUGCAUGUUCAGCUUGGUUGCUAUUCUUGAUCAGAACGUGUUUACAUUUGUACCUUUUGUGCAGGACAAAGAACCAUGGGAUCUAAAGAGCAAUGCUGUAAAGAUGGAAGCAGCUGCCAAGAAAAAAGAUGAAGGCAAUGCUUGGUUUAAGAUGGGCAAGUACGCCAAGGCUUCCAAGAGACAUGAGAAGGCUGCAAAGUACAUCGAGUAUGACAGCUACUUCAGCAAGGGGGAGGAGAAGCAAUCUAAAUCUCCGAAGAACAGUUGCAAGCUCAACAGCCAGCGUGCAAGCUGAAGCUGAAAGAAUAAAGAGAAGCAGAGAAACUCUGCACAAAGGUUAUGGAACUUGAGAGCACGAAUGUUAAGGCCCUGUACAGAAGGGCGCAAGCCUACGUCGAACUUGUCGACUUGGAUCUGGCAGAACUGGAUAUUAAGGCCCUCGAAAUUGAUCCUGACAACAGGUAAAGUACCGCAUUUAGCUCAGGUCCAUGAAUCCACGAUGGGAGGCAUUAAAUUAGCAGAUUUAUUUGGUGAUCAGUUUGUGUUAAGAAUUUUAGAUGGCACAUGUACCCAUAUCUUAUCACAGUUUCUGAAAUUGUUGCAGACAUCUUAGAUUGGCUUUAUUUUGGUUUCUAGGUACAGUUAUCCAGUUUCUCAUAUCUUAAAAAUACUACCUUUUCCCCUUCUCAUGUGCUUGGGUGACUGUUGGAGGCACACUAGCAAUUAAUGUAAAUGUGUGGCCUCGUAGGUGGUAUGUGAAAACAGUUGAUGUUGCCGGAGGUAUCAUCAAGAAGUAGAGCAUCAAAGGUAUGACGAUACUACUCAAUAUUUUCCAAUAAGCCAAAUCUUCCAACGAGAGUAAUUGUCCUUGAAAUAUGAAAAGCGGUCAUUUAGUGAAGCUGGUUCAAUUUUAGAAGGCUCUAUCACAUGGUCCCUGAAAGUCUGGGCUAAAUUCCACAAGAUUUGACCUACUAAUGAACUGAAUUUCUUGAUGGUUUCAUUGAUGCAAGACUUAGAUGUUUGUAGAGAUUGUUAUAUAAAAGUAAUCAAUUCUUUGGACUUCAACUUGUGAAAAUGGGACAUCAACCAUAGGUGAAUACAGGAAUGGAGUGGAAAUGAUGAGAUAACAACUUCAAGAAGAAAAGGUGCUACCUGUGACCAUUCAAGACACCAUAUAUUUUUUUUCUGUAACUAUUCAAACCUGCAAGCCCAUGUUUUCCUCCAUAGUAUCAGAGGAGAGAGGUUUUCAUGAAGUUAUGAAAUCAUGGUGUUGAGAUAUCAGGUGGUGAGGAGCAUACAAGGACUACAUGGAGCUGAUGUGUGCAACUGUGGAGGUUCCAUACAUGGUCGACACAGCGGGUGUGCACAUCAUGGUAUGGAGUUUGAAGCCGCUUUGACUUGAGGUAAUAUGCAUGCAACAUGCACUCUCCUACAAGUUUUUGUUGUUUACCAUCAUGAUUGGUUAUCCUUUAGUUUCCAUUGUUGACCUUUUUCAUUAAGAAGAGGAACCACUAUUGAACGCUCAAGUAGGGUUUCAUUGAUAAAGAUGUUCUUUUUUCUCGAAUACUAAACAUGUUUUUUUUAUAUUUCGAACUGGAUACAAUGACAAGUUUAUCUAUGGUAGCCUGGUAGCCCUUUCAGGAAGUGGCUGCUUCGAUUAAUGAGCAGGCUCAGAUAACAUUGGCACGCUAGAGCAGAUUGAGAAGAUGUGGCAGGUCACCUGAUUGAAGCUAAAUUUUUUAUGAUCAAUGCAGAUCCCUGUGUGUACAAUUUUGGAGAAGUUUUACCAUUACGACAUGAUGAUGUACUAUAGAAUGACUUUUUUUGUUAUGUACAAUCUUCUAAUGGAUACAAUGCAUAUCCUGGUUUCAGGUUUCUAUUAGAAUGUUGGCAUUCCGAAAAGCAGAGAAUUUUAUGUUUUUACAGUCCUAUGUUACUUUGAAAGAUGAGCCAGUCUGCAAGAGGUAUACA